ACAUCCAAUGGCCAAAACUAUGCAAAACACCAACCACUCCAUUUCAAAAUGAAUUUUGUACGUACUUGAAUUGUCGGAUUUCAUGGACCAAUCGAUAUCGGAUUGAGUUCAAAACUUGGGGAACAUCAGAAUAUUGUGGGAGGAGUCAUUUGGUGAGUUUUGAGUGAAAUCCAAUGGCUAAAACUAUGCAAUACACCAACC
rnacentral:lncRNA from 1 species